rnacentral:rRNA from 1 species
AUUGAACGCUGCGGCAGGCCUAACACAUGCAAGUCGAGCGAGCGGCGGACGGGUGAGUAAUGUCUGGGAAACUGCCUGAUGGAGGGUGAUAACUACUGGAAACGGUAGCUAAUACCGCAUACCAUCAGAUGUGCCCAGAUGGGAUUAGCUAGUAGGUGGGGUAACGGCACACCUAGGCUAUGAUCCCUAGCUGGUCUGAGAGGAUGACCAGCCACACGGGAACUGAGACACGGUCCAGACUCCUACGGGAGGCAGCAGUGGGGAAUAUUGCACAAUGGGCGAAAGCCUGAUGGAGCCAUGCCGCGUGUGUGAUGAAGGCCUUCGGGUUGUAAAGUACUUUCAGCAGGGAGGCGUUACCCGAUGAAGAAGCCCCGGCUAACUCCGUGCCAGCAGCCGCGGUAAUUC